rnacentral:rRNA from 1 species
UAUGUGAUCGUCUCUCGCAUAUCAAUAAGCGGAGGAAAAGAAACUAACAAGGAUUCCCCUAGUAACGGCGAGUGAAGCGGGAAGAGCUCAAAAUUGAAAUCUUAAAGGGUUUCCCUUUACGAAUUGUAGUUUAAAGAAGUGUUUUCUGUUGAGGUUUUGGUAAAAGUUCUUUGGAAUAGGACAUCAUAGAGGGUGAGAAUCCCGUAUUUGACCUUUACUUUCAACUUUGUGAUACACUUUCAAAGAGUCGGAUUGUUUGGGAAUGCAGUCCAAAAUGGGUGGUAAAUUUCAUCUAAAGCUAAAUAUUGGCGAGAGACCGAUAGCGAACAAGUACCGUGAGGGAAAGAUGAAAAGAACUUUGAAAAGAGAGUUAAACAGUACGUGAAAUUGUCAAAAGGGAAGCGUUUGACACCAGUGUUGUUUUUCUGAAAAUCAAUUAAAGAACUGUUUAUGCUAAGUUGUUUAGACUUUAUCAGCUAUCUGCUUAGUUUUGAGCUUUUCUUUAAUGCACUUUUCAGUUAACAAGUCAACAUCAAUUUCUUUUGCUGUAAAAAAGCUUGAGGAAGGUGGCUUGAGAUUCGUCUUAAGUGUUUAUAGCCUCUUGCCUAUGCAGUCGGAGAGAUUGAGGUCUGCAGCGUAGAUCCUUCGGGGCUAAAUGCAUUUGUGCUAAGUUAUAGCAUUUUAUAGACAACUUGUUGACUAUGAUUUGUCUUGUAGCUUACUCGCUUAUGUUAUUUUACCUACGCUUAGGAUGUUGAAUCUGUGCGAGACUAC